GACGAACCGUGCGAACGUUAUUCGGAAUCACUGGGCUUAAAGCGCGUGUAGGCGGGCCGGCACGUCGGACGUGAAAUCCCCCGGCUCAACCGGGGAAGGGGCGCCGAUACGACCGGCCUGGAGGAACGUAGGGGGAGCUGGAACUUCCGGUGGAGCGGUGAAAUGCGUUGAGAUCGGAAGGAACGCCCGUGGCGAAAGCGAGCUCCUGGACGUUUUCUGACGCUGAGACGCGAAAGCCAGGGGAGCGAACGGG
rnacentral:rRNA from 1 species